UGUGUAAAAGUUGGCUGGUUUCAGAAUUUUUGAUCAUUUGAUGUUCGAACUGUGAUUUUUGGUAAUCUGAUUUUAAUGUGGUUCUGCUGGUUCUUAGCCUGAAGGUAAAACAAUUAAGAAACGUGUCAAAAAAUACAGACUGGAGGAACUAAAAAGAGAACUGGAGGCUUUGGGAGUGAACAUUGAUGAGGACGUGGAUGAGACUAAAAAGAAAAACAGAAAAAAGACCAAAAAGGAACUGCAAAACCUCCUAAUAAAGGAGCUGAAACAGCUCAGCAAUGGCAAAACUGGGCUGGACAACAGGGCUUAUGAAGAGGUAUUCACUAUGUCCAUGGAGAUCCCUGAAGAUGUCAUAUCUGUUCUGAAUGAUCUGGACACAUUCUUGGACAAACAGUCUCCUGGAUAAAGUGGACUCAACUUUGGCUUCAGAAGGACUUAACGAAAAGGGAGAAAAGGAGAGAGUGCUGAGGCCAGACGCUGGAGACAGGAAGGAGGAGGCCGAGCGGGCAGCCCGAUUCUGGAGUGCCACAGAGAACCACAAAGGCUCCGUUCCCAGGAGGUUUCAGGUGGCAAGACGCAGCAGCAGACGGCUGACCGUGUGAACGAUUACAAGAACCAUCAAUAAAACCAAUACCAGAAGUUAUACUUCUGGUGAUCUUCA